UAGGUUUUGUCCGAGGGAAAUUGUUUUAAUAGUAACGAGGUGCUGUCCGAGUACCGAGUCAUCACCUACUCAGGUGAGUGCAUAGUUACUUUCAUCUUACACAUAGAUAUGAAGUAUUUUAUAUAAAUUACAUGCUAUGUGUGCAUAUUAUCUGAGUACUUGCUGUCUAUGCUGGAUGAAUGUUUUUAUACAUGUUUUAAAUGAUUUAAACUGUAUACGUAUUUUAUAUAUACAAAUAUGUUGGGGGAUGACAUGGGUAGAUGAACGAUGAGAGAGAAAAGAUGAUGUGAGUAAACAUAAGCAGCUAUGGACUUAGUGCCUAUUGGACAAACACUGGUAGCUAUGGACUUAGUACCUGAUAGGAAUUGGUAGCUAUGGACUUAGUACCUAUUAGAUAAACAUUGGUAGCUAUGGAUUUAGUACCUGUUAGGAAUUGGUAGCUAUGGACUUAGUACCUAUUAGAUAAACACUGGUAGCUAUGGAUUUAGUACCCAAUGAAUAAACUAUAGCAGCUAUGGAAUUAGUGCUUUACGAACGAGCAUUGGUAGCUAUGGAUUUAGUGCCAGUCCUAUAACCCUGGAAGUAAGGGACUUCGGAAUAAACGAAUGCAGGAUAGAUGACUCUUAGGAUAAAUCCUUAAGAGUAAAGAAGAUAAUGGGGAUGGGUAAUUGGGUUGAUUGUUUGAUUGUUUAAACAUAAUAAUUAUAUUAUUGUGGGUUGAAAACCCUAUGUACUCACUAGGUUUCCCAACCUGACCUACUCAGUUUAUUUAUAUCACAUGUGUCGAUACGAAGUGACAUUACACUGAGAGAUUAAAGAGAUGUAGAUCACUAGUGUAAAUAAAUGUAAGUUCCGUUUAUGCUUAUGUUCAUGUAUUGACGAUGACAUCCCAAACGUUUUAAAAUAAAUAAAAUACGUUUCUUCGAAAAUGUUUUGAUAACGUAUUUAUCGUAUUUUUCUGGGAACAAAUUCCGCAACAUUUUUAUGAAAUGAAGUACUCUGAUUUUUAUAAAGCAUAAACAAAAUCGGUCUUUUCUGGCCGUGAAAAUGGGGAUGUCACAGUUGGUAUCAAAGCAUUAGUUUAAGCGAACUAGGAAUUUGUAGGAAAUUUCUAAACUUAAACUUAGAAUGCUAAGCAAUGAUUGUGAGGUGUGAGCACUAGCUUAUUUUAGGAAUUGUGCCUAAAAUGCUUUUAUGUGCUAAAUGCUUGUGCCUGAUAUGUUGUUAUUUGUUCGGAUCUAUGGUCUAUUGCCGACCGAAUCUGGAAACCUUAUGUGUUUAAUAUUCUAAGCAUUUAACUACGAUAUUAGAACCAGCAUAUGAACGUUUCGGGGUGAUAAGGAUGAUUUAAACGUCAAUCCUAAGUAAAAAUCUAGAUUCACCUUAUUCGGUGUAUAGAUCAAGAUGGCAAGAACCCAUAGCGGAAACGUGAAUGCAAAUACGAACCAAGAUCAGCCCCCAGUGAGUUAGCAAUACCUGUUGUAGUAUCCGCUCCUGAGCCAAUCACGAUGGCCGGAGUUCAAGCGUUGAUCCAGAUGAUGUCGGAUCGUCAAAUGGAGGAAACAAGGCUUUUACUUCAACAAACUCGAGAGGAACUUACGAUGCCUAUUGAACAGCCCGAGCUGAAUGACGGGCAGACUGAGGAAGGGAACGACGGCAGGACCGUUGGUCAAACUGAUCCACCGGUGAUUAGGAGGAACAAUCAAGAUGAAGGACUCGAGAGGAAUGGAUGCCAGUACAAAGAUACUCUAACUUGCAAGCCAUCGACUUUCACUGGGAAGGAAGAUCCGAUUGGAGUCAUGGAUUGGAUCUCAGAAAUGGAAUUCGCCUUCAUGACAUGUUGUUGCAAAGGCAAGCUACAAACCACGUUUGUAGUGCGUCAAUUCAAAGGAGGUGUUGUUCGCUAGUGGAACACCCUGGGGAAGACUUUAAGCCCCAAUGAGCCCCUACAAUUAACAUGGGUAGAGUUUUUGGUGCAAUUCAAACGAAAGUACUGCUCAGCCCAAAACCUGCUCGAGCUAGAGAACCAAUUCCUAACUUUGAAGAAAGGAAGCAUGUCCAUCGAUGAAUACACCAACAACUUCACGGACAAAAUGGAGUUUGCUUUGCGCCUUGUCCCAAACGAGCUGACAAAAGUUGACAAGUAUGCAAAGGGGCUUCCCUGGGAGUAUGCGGUGCCAGUACGUCAAGCACCUACUCUAGAGGCAGCUAUCUGGGCUGCCAAGUCUGUUGAAGAUAUGAUCAAGGGAAGAGCCGCCAGCAAGAUGGAGGUUGGCGAGCACAGAAAGUUUGAAGGAUCUUCAAAGUCCAACAAGGAAAUCAAAUUCUCAAAGCUCGGAAGAGGAGAAGGAGGUGAAGCGAGAUGGUGUGAUAAAUGCAAGAAGAAGCAUUGUGGGAAGUGCAACGAAGAAGUGACUUGUUACAAGUGUGGAAGGAUUGGUCACUAUUCAAAGGAUUGUACACAUAAUGAUAAAGUAUGAUGCGAAUGUGGAGGCAAGGGGCACAUGUCCAAAGACUGCCCGAGGAAAAAUAAAGUAGCAAGACCAGAAACGCCACCAAGGCCAAGGGCAUUCCACAUGAUCCUCGACGAAGCGGAAAACAACGCGAGGAACCAAGGAUAAGGAAUCUAUACCCGAAGAUCGAGUUACGAGGUAGCCUAAGAGAUAAAACCACGUGAUGUAGCCUCUUAGAGGCAUAGUCUAGGGUGAACUUGAACACCUAUGUAAUAGUUUCAAGAAAUAAUAAAAUCUUCGUUUUGUUAUCUGGUGUGUUAAACUGUUAUGUGAUUUUCUUGAAUGGUGACUUGGAAAACUACGAGACAAUACUUGGGACAAGUAUGAGUAGGUGUGAAAGGUAGUAGAUGCAUAUACUACUGGAAGCACAGGACUCACGCUUGGAUCAGGAAAAGUCACAAGGUUACCAAGAAACUAGUAAUUGAUUUCAUUUUAUUCAAGUAUGGCGUUACCAUUGUUUCGGUAAUGACUAAGAAAAAUUGUUGUUAUCCCGGACCUAAUUUUCAUAUCACAUUAAGUCCCGACUACGAUGAGUAGGUUAUGUGGUUCAGAGAACCAAGUUUGAUGUAGCGUCCGACUUAAACCAAACAAUUUAAAUCUAAGCGGUCAAUAGAAGUAUCGCGCUCGUUGUUAAAGAAGUUGGUAGCUAGAAAUGCUACAUGUUGAAGUGUGAUUAUAUCACAUUAAAACAUGAAGGAAGGCAUAGUCUGUUUUAGAAUUUAACUCUAAGAGACCUGAUUCUAAACGUGCAUCACAUGAUGAUAGGUCAUAAUUUGGAAUCUAACCUGAGGUAGAGAGCAGGUGCACGAUCAAGUACUGCUUACAGUCAAUAAGUCUAAGAGAUAGACUUGAAGGAAUAUAGAAGUUAUAAUUAUUACCUAGGAUGAAGAGAUGAUGUAUUGAGUCAUUAUACGAGCCCUGUUUCGUUGAUGAUUCCGGGACGUAAUCAUCCUAAGGGGGAGAUAAUUGUAACGCCCGUAGAUCCGGGCUAGUCAAUUUAGAGACAAUAAGUGUCAAAAAUGACUUUUAGGAAAAAUACUAUUUAUAAUAAAUAGUCUUAACCAAGUUGUAGAGUAUGUCUCAAGGUUUCCAUACAUAUAAAGAACGCCGAAAUCCGACUUAUAACGAAAAAGUUAUGGCCCGUCGAAGUUUUACGGCAAAAUAGGCACGACAUUGGGAAGCAUAAAUAGAAAAUUUAUGAUGGAGCGAUUUUUAGCCUUAGUGAUCUAAAAUAAAGUCAUAGAAUAUGUUAAACCGAGAAAAUCCAUAAAAAAACGCCCAAAUCUGACUUCGUAUGAAGAAGUUAUGAUUUUUCUAAGAUUUGGCUUAGCAGUGCACGGCCCGAAACUCGAAUUUUAGUUCAAGCGGUUUUUGGCUUACGCGACCUAAAUGAGAGUUGAAGAUCUCAUUAAUAGGAACUCAAUGAUAAAAAGAUGGAUGAAAACGGAUUCCGUAUGAAGGAGUUACGAAUUCUUCGUGGUCAUUUAGCAGUCUAAACGCCUCCUACUAUUAAAUUUGAGAUCGGUCGAGAAUUAGCCAACGGAGUCUAAAUGAAAGUUGUAGAUCUUGAUUUUACCUACGUGUUGAAAAAAGGAACGUCAAAAACGGAGCUCAUAUGCGAGAGUUAUGAUUUUUCUAAGUUUGAAGGCUGAUACGCGAUAUUGGGUGACGUGGCGCGAUCACAGCCAUUGCUUUCUCUCCAAGGAAAGCCAUCAGAUGAUGACACGUGGCACUGACUCGGCGAGUCAGUGAACCGACUCGGUGAGUCCAUCAGGAUUUCACCCCAUAAAUAGAAGUUUCGGGUUUCUCCAUUUCUCACACCUUCCAAACACUUCUUUCUCUCUCUAGAACCUCUCUCUAGCCCCCCUUAAGCCCCCUAAAGUCUAGGUAACCCCCCUAGCACCCGAAGGAAGCCCCGAGGCUCCUCAAGUCCCGAGAAAAGAGCCUUUCAACUCGGAAACGCUGCUCCAGCAAAGCCCGGUUUUGAGAAAAAAAAACCCGCUGUAAGUAAGAUGUAGCUAUCCUAUCUUUNCAGGACUCACGCUUGGAUCAGGAAAAGUCACAAGGUUACCAAGAAACUAGUAAUUGAUUUCAUUUUAUUCAAGUAUGGCGUUACCAUUGUUUCGGUAAUGACUAAGAAAAAUUGUUGUUAUCCCGGACCUAAUUUUCAUAUCACAUUAAGUCCCGACUACGAUGAGUAGGUUAUGUGGUUCAGAGAACCAAGUUUGAUGUAGCGUCCGACUUAAACCAAACAAUUUAAAUCUAAGCGGUCAAUAGAAGUAUCGCGCUCGUUGUUAAAGAAGUUGGUAGCUAGAAAUGCUACAUGUUGAAGUGUGAUUAUAUCACAUUAAAACAUGAAGGAAGGCAUAGUCUGUUUUAGAAUUUAACUCUAAGAGACCUGAGUCUAAACGUGCAUCACAUGAUGAUAGGUCAUAAUUUGGAGUCUAACUUGAGGUAGAGAGCAGGUGCACGAUUAAGUACUGCUUACAAUCAAUAAGUCUAAGAGAUAGACUUGAAGGAAUAAAGAAGUUACAAUUAUUACCUAGGAUGAAGAGAUGACGUAUGGAGUCAUUAUACGAGCCCUGUUUCGUUGAUGAUUCCGGGACGUAAUCAUCCUAAGGGGGAGAUAAUUGUAACGCCCGUAGAUCCGGGCUAGUCAAUUUAGAGACAAUAAGUGUCAAAAAUGACUUUUAGGAAAAAUACUAUUUAUAAUAAAUAGUCUUAACCAAGUUGUAGAGUAUGUCUCAAGGUUUCCAUACAUAUAAAGAACGCCGAAAUCCGACUUAUAACGAAAAAGUUAUGGCCCGUCGAAGUUUUACGGCAAAAUAGGCACGACAUUGGGAAGCAUAAAUAGAAAAUUUAUGAUGGAGCGAUUUUUAGCCUUAGUGAUCUAAAAUAAAGUCAUAGAAUAUGUUAAACCGAGAAAAUCCAUAAAAAAACGCCCAAAUCUGACUUCGUAUGAAGAAGUUAUGAUUUUUCUAAGAUUUGGCUUAGCAGUGCACGGCCCGAAACUCGAAUUUUAGUUCAAGCGGUUUUUGGCUUACGCGACCUAAAUGAGAGUUGAAGAUCUCAUUAAUAGGAACUCAAUGAUAAAAAGAUGGAUGAAAACGGAUUCCGUAUGAAGGAGUUACGAAUUCUUCGUGGUCAUUUAGCAGUCUAAACGCCUCCUACUAUUAAAUUUGAGAUCGGUCGAGAAUUAGCCAACGGAGUCUAAAUGAAAGUUGUAGAUCUUGAUUUUACCUACGUGUUGAAAAAAAUAACUUCGAAAACGGAGCUCGUAUGCGAGAGUUAUGAUUUUUCUAAGUUUGAAGGCUGAUACGCGAUAUUGGGUGACGUGGCGCGAUCACAGCCAUUGCUUUCUCUCCAAGGAAAGCCAUCAGAUGAUGACACGUGGCACUGACUCGGCGAGUCAGUGAACCGACUCGGUGAGUCCAUCAGGAUUUCACCCCAUAAAUAGAAGUUUCGGGUUUCUCCAUUUCUCACACCUUCCAAACACUUCUUUCUCUCUCUAGAACCUCUCUCUAGCCCCCCUUAAGCCCCCUAAAGUCUAGGUAACCCCCCUAGCACCCGAAGGAAGCCCCGAGGCUCCUCAAGUCCCGAGAAAAGAGCCUUUCAACUCGGAAACGCUGCUCCAGCAAAGCCCGGUUUUGAGAAAAAAAAACCCGCUGUAAGUAAGAUGUAGCUAUCCUAUCUUUAGUAUAGCUUAUGUUUUAUUAUAGUAACGUUAUUAGGAACUUAUAAUGAGUAUUUGGGCUAUUAUUAUGAGUUAUAUAAGAGUGUUUCUUAACGCUUAUAUAAUAGUAAUAAUAGCUAGACUAUUAAAUAGUCGCAGUUAACGUUAGACUAAACUCUAGUGGUAAUGAUACUAGGUUUUGUCCGAGGGAAAUUGUUUUAAUAGUAACGAGGUGCUGUCCGAGUACCGAGUCAUCACCUACUCAGGUGAGUGCAUAGUUACUUCCAUCUUACACAUAGAUAUGAAGUAUUUUAUAUAAAUUACAUGCUAUGUGUGCAUAUUAACUGAGUACUUGCUGUCUAUGCUGGAUGAACGUUUUUAUACAUGUUUUAAAUGAUUUAAACUGUAUACGUAUUUUAUAUAUACAAAUAUGUUGGGGGAUGACAUGGGUAGAUGAACGAUGAGAGAGAAANCUUAGUACCUGUUAGGAAUUGGUAGCUAUGGACUUAGUACCUAUUAGAUAAACACUGGUAGCUAUGGAUUUAGUACCCGAUGAAUAAACUAUAGCAGCUAUGGAAAUAGUGCUUUAUGAAUGAGCAUUGGUAGUUAUGAAUUUAGUGCCAGUCCUAUAACCCUGGAAGUAAGGGACUUCGGAAUAAACGAUUGCAGGAUAGAUGACUCUUAGGAUAAAUCCUUAAGAGUAAAGAAGAUAA
rnacentral:lncRNA from 1 species